UCAGGAAGGUGAGGAGGAGAGAUUUCUUUAACCAGACAGUGGUGAAUCUGUGGAAUUAAUUGCCACAGAUGACCGUGGAGGCCAAGUCAUUGAGUAUUUUUAAAGUGGAGACUGAUGGAUUCUUGAUUAGU